UACGUAGGUGGCGAGCGUUGUCCGGAUUUACUGGGCGUAAAGGGAGCGUAGGCGGACUUUUAAGUGAGAUGUGAAAUACCCGGGCUCAACUUGGGUGCUGCAUUUCAAACUGGAAGUCUAGAGUGCAGGAGAGGAGAAUGGAAUUCCUAGUGUAGCGGUGAAAUGCGUAGAGAUUAGGAAGAACACCAGUGGCGAAGGCGAUUCUCUGGACCGUAACUGACGCUGAGGCUCGAAAGCGUGGGGAGCAAACAGGAUUAGAUACCCUGGUA
rnacentral:rRNA from 1 species